rnacentral:rRNA from 1 species
UACGGGGGGAGCAAGCGUUGUUCGGAUUUACUGGGCGUAAAGGGCGCGUAGGCGGCGCGACAAGUCACUUGUGAAAUCUCCGGGCUUAACCCGGAGCGGCCAAGUGAUACUGUAGUGCUAGAGUGCGGAAGGGGCUACUGGAAUUCUCGGUGUAGCGGUGAAAUGCGUAGAUAUCGGGAGGAACACCAGUGGCGAAGGCGACUUCCUGGCCUGUUCUUGACGCUGAGGCGCGAAAGCUAGGGGAGCAAACGGG